UACGGAGGGAGCUAGCGUUGUUCGGAAUUACUGGGCGUAAAGCGCACGUAGGCGGCUUUGUAAGUUAGAGGUGAAAGCCCGGGGCUCAACCCCGGAAUUGCCUUUAAGACUGCAUCGCUUGAAUCCGGGAGAGGUGAGUGGAAUUCCGAGUGUAGAGGUGAAAUUCGUAGAUAUUCGGAAGAACACCAGUGGCGAAGGCGGCUCACUGGACCGGUAUUGACGCUGAGGUGCGAAAGCGUGGGGGGCAAACAGG
rnacentral:rRNA from 1 species